rnacentral:rRNA from 1 species
AUUGAACGCUGGCGGCAGGCCUAACACAUGCAAGUCGAGCGGAUGACGGGAGCUUGCUCCUUGAUUCAGCGGCGGACGGGUGAGUAAUGCCUAGGAAUCUGCCUGGUAGUGGGGGACAACGUUUCGAAAGGAACGCUAAUACCGCAUACGUCCUACGGGAGAAAGCAGGGGACCUUCGGCCCUUGCGCUAUCAGAUGAGCCUAGGUCGGAUUAGCUUGUUGGUGAGGUAAUGGCUCACCAAGGCGACGAUCCGUAACUGGUCUGAGAGGAUGAUCAGUCACACUGGAACUGAGACACGGUCCAGACUCCUACGGGAGGCAGCAGUGGGGAAUAUUGGACAAUGGGCGAAAGCCUGAUCCAGCCAUGCCGCGUGUGUGAAGAAGGUCUUCGGAUUGUAAAGCACUUUAAGUUGGGAGGAAGGGCAGUAAGUUAAUACCUUGCUGUUUUGACGUUACCGACAGAAUAAGCACCGGCUAACUCUGUGCCAGCAGCCCCCGUAACAC